rnacentral:rRNA from 1 species
AUGGCGAGCGGGGAGGACCGCAUCAGCGCCCUCCCGGAGGACAUCCUCCACCACGUGCUCCGCCUCCUGCCGGCUCAUGAGGUGGUGCGGACGUGCUUGCUCGCCCGCCGCUGGCGCGGCGUCUGGAGGUCCGUGCCCACCCUCCGCUUCACCGGGGCCAAGGGGUGGGGCAGCGCCGACAUGUUCGCCCAAUUUGUGGACCACUUGCUCCACCUCAGGUGCGAGGGCGACGGUCCGCCUCUGGAUUCCUGCGAUUUCGACUUUGAUUCCGACGGAAUCAUGCUGUUGCCCGCUAAGGAGUGGCAUGCGAGCAACUGGCUCUGGAAAGCCCUGCCUCGUGUUCGGGCUCUCCGGCUCCGGCUUCGUAUUGUCGACGAGCAGGAAGCCUUGCCACUAUCUUAUAUGCAUCUCUUCUCCCAGCACCUCACGAGAUUAGAGCUUGUUGGUGUCUCUUUCAACAACAGCGUCGCUGAUUUUUCAGGCUGUCCGGCAUUGGUGGAACUGAGUAUGGAUACUUGUGACGUCUUUAUGAAACAACUGCUGUCUCCAUCCUUGAAACAUCUGCGAAUUGCCCGCUGCUAUAUUUCUGAUCGUUACCGCAUUCUUAUUUCUCUACCAAAUCUUGUUUCGCUUGAGUUGAUCGAAUGCCACCGAGGAAGGGUUCCAUUGCUUGGAAGCUUGCCGCGGUUAGCAAGAGCUGUUGUGGUGCUUAACGAGCAUUGUGCUGAUCAAUGCUCUCAGGAUCAGCUUGAUAGUUGUGGUGCUGAGAGAAGAGAUAUUUGUUAUGGUUGUUAUUAUUAUUAUGGGGAUCCUGCACAUGGGCCUCAUUAUGACCGCAACGACUGCAUCUUUCUCAAAGGUUUGUCAGAAGCCACAGACUUGGAGUUGUCAGCUGAUUCUGUUGUGACUGUUCUCAACAGGGAUUUGAAGUGGUGCCCUACAUUUACCAAGUUAAAGACUUUGCUACUAAAUGAUUGGUGUUUGGCUGCUGACCACAAUGCACUAAUUUGCUUUCUCCAACACUCACCAAUUUUGGGGAAGCUUACCCUUCAACUUUUUGAGGGACCUUCAUAUGUAACUGAAGCAGAAGGAAUAUACAAACCAUUGGGACAGUCAGUUGCAUCCAACUGUCUUAAGAUUGUUGAAAUCAAAUGUGCAAAUGUUGAUAAAAAGGUUCACCAAAUUUUGAAGAUACUGACUACUUAUGGCAUACACCUUGAGCAAAUUAGUGUCCAACAAACUAGCAGAAUUCCUGGAUCUGGAUGUUUCAAUUUUGUUUGCACUGGUUUCAGCUAA